AACAAAUCUUAAUGUCGUUACAAAACUGGUUGAAGAUUGGUUAUUUAAAAAGAAAAAAUAUGAAAAAGGUAACUCAUGAGUAUAAACACCCCCUAUAAGUAUGCUGGCUUAUUACUUUUCUUGGUUUAUUUUUAAAUCGAUAACGCUAUAGUUAUUAAUCUGUACACUAAAAUAAUUCAUUGGCCAAAAAUAUUAUAAUUACUAUAGUAUUCAUAAUUAAUUUAAACAAAAUCAUGAAGCGC
rnacentral:lncRNA from 1 species